rnacentral:rRNA from 1 species
GCACGGGUGAGUAACACGUAUGCAACCUGCCCACAACUGCGGGAUAACCCGUCGAAAGACGGACUAAUACCGCAUGGUAUGGAUUGAUCGCCUGAUUGAUUCAUCAAAGAAUUUCGGUUGUGGAUGGGCAUGCGUUCCAUUAGGCAGUUGGUGAGGUAACGGCUCACCAAACCUACGAUGGAUAGGGGUUCUGAGAGGAAGGUCCCCCACACUGGUACUGAGACACGGACCAGACUCCUACGGGAGGCAGCAGUGAGGAAUAUUGGUCAAUGGGCGAGAGCCUGAACCAGCCAAAUCGCGUGAAGGAUGAAGGUAUUAUGUAUUGUAAACUUCUUUUAUAGGGGAAUAAAGUGCACCACGUGUGGUGUUUUGUAUGUACCCUAGGAAUAAGGAUCGGCUAACUCCGUGCCAGCAGCCGCGGUAAUACGGAGGAUCCAAGCGUUAUCCGGAUUUAUUGGGUUUAAAG